GUGGCAUCACAGGCCCCCGGGAUUUAGAAUUCUUCUGAAAGGCAUCCUGUGCACUCCCGAGCACCAGCUUGAACAGAUGAAAAGGCUGAGCUGGAGGGGCUGGGACACAGUCCACCUUGACGACAGCUGCUCCUGGCUGUGCGGGGGGCCCCAGGAAAGGCCGUUCCCCCACUAGGACCGCCAGGCCCUACAGAGGCUCAAACUCCUUUGCUGUUUGGAAUCUUCCCUCCCCAGCCCCCAAGCCUCAUCAGAGGCUGCCUUUUCUGUUCACUGACCACAGCUGCUUUGACUCCAUUAGCCUCGAGCUCCUGGAAGAAAAGAAAGAACCUUGUUUUCCCUGGGCUCAAUGCCAAGAGACCAUGGGCAGUUGCUCAAGAUUCACUUGUGAAACUCCGGAUCUCAGGAGGAGGGAAGCUUGGGACAAAUACCGAGCCUCCCACCCCCACUCCAACUCUGUUACUGAGCACUUUACGGAAGGAGCAGGUGCAACAGGUGGGACCUCACCUGUUCUGAUGGGGGCUGCCAUUUCUGCCCCUUCUGGA
rnacentral:lncRNA from 1 species